CUUUAUCAGAUGAGAAAUUUUGUUUUAUACAUUUGAUUUCUGGUUUGAAUAUGUAUAUUUUAGAUAUAAAUUCUUUAUCAGGUGAGAUUAGAAAAAUGUAGUUCUGAUUGUGUAGAGAAAGGCACCUUGGAAAUGUAUUUCUGAUGACAUUGAGAAAGGCACUGUGGGUAAUGUAGUUCUGAUGAUGCGGAGGACAGCACUGUGGGAAAUGUAGUUUUGACAACACAGAAAAAGGCACUGUGGGAAAUGUAGUUGUGAUGAACAGAGAAAGGUACUGUUGGCAAGGUAGUUUUCAUGACACAGAGAAAGGCCCUGUGGCAAAAGUAUUUCUGAUGACAUACAGAAAGGCCCUGUGGGAAAUGUAAUUCUGAAGAUGUAAAGAAAGACACGGUGGGAAAUAUAGUUCUGAUGACACAGAGAAAGGCAGUUUGGGAAAUGUCAUUCUGAUGACUUAGAGAAAGGUUCUUUGGAAAUGUAGUUUUGAUGACAUAGAGAAAGCCACCUGGGAAAUGUAGUUCUGAUGACACAGAGGAAGCAAAUGUAGGAAAUGUAGUUCUGAUUCCGUAGAGUAUAUUGCUCUCUGGGAAAUAUAGUUCAAUGAUUCCAGGACGACCCACCUGGACAAUGGUGCGCUGUGACAUGAGUGAGGUCCUUGAACCCUCGUCACAAUCAGACUUUCCUGAAUGAAAAUGUCAUUGACAAAAUGUAACAGUGUCAAUCUAAGUCCUGGACUGGCUGCCACGCAGGACACUCUGACAAAUAAACAAGCUUCCAAAAUGAACCACACUUUAUAUUGCAUUUGACCCACGAAGGGAAACAGAUGGAAAGUGUUUUAGUUGAUAUCCUCUGUAACAACUGAAAUACAGAUCAUUUCUCAAGAAGCUGGAAACCGAGACAUAGAAAAAUGAAGAUUCUUCUGUUAACCGCUGUCAUCAGCUUUGUUGGCACAGAAGAGGUACUUAAUAUUGGUUAAAUUAUUUUUCCUAAAGCAGAGCAACUUGCAAUAUUUUCGUAGACAGUGCAGCAAUCAUUAUCAAUCAGUCUAAAGCUGCAGUUGUAUUCACAGUAAUUCUAUCCAUCAGAGAAAAUGGAUUUAAUGUCUUCUAGUUUUAAAAUGCUUCAGAUUUUAUAAUUCAGUAGAAAUAUAUGGUUUGUGUAUAUGUAUGGUUAUACAUGAAAGACAUUGUGAUAGUAUGCAUUUCAUAAUUUUUAAAAAACAGAGCACAAGGUAUAUAUACAAUUAUUCAAAUAAAUAUGAAUUCAAUUAUUCUUCCUCUCCAAAAAUGACUUAUAUGUUUGAAUAGCCAUUUUAAUUAGUGUAAUAUUGCUGAAGUCUGUCUGUAGUAUGACCUUCUGUUGGAUUUACUUAACAACAGACAUAAAUUUAAGAACAUAGAAAUAUGUUAUAAAGGAAAUGUAUUUUAAUAAGGGUAGGUAUAACGUGUAGGUUCCUGUGCAGGAAUGACAUUUUGUCUCAAAACUUACAGUAAAUAAAAUUUACUUGU